rnacentral:rRNA from 1 species
AUGUUAUAUUCAUGCCCCAAUCAUGAGCUCUCAAGAGAAAUUAUUAUCCAGAAUUUUUAUGCUCGGCUUUCUCGUAAUGAUCAAACCAUGCUUGAUACUUCUUGUGCUGGUUCUUUUAUGAAGAAGACUAUUGUAUUCCAUUGGGAUCUUUUGGAAAGAAUUAAAUGCAACUCUGAAGAUUGGGAACUUGAUGAAGGUAAAGAGUCAGGUAUUAAACUUAAGUAUGAUUGUGUUAAAUCUUUUAUGGAUAUCGAUGUUUUUCAAAAGUUUAGCACUAAAUAUGGACUUGACUCUGAGAUAGUAGCCUCCUUUGUGAAUCAUUUGCUACUCAUGUUGAACUCCCUAAAGAGAAGCACCUAUUAA